AACACAAGUCCAUGGACAUUUAUGAGUGAUAGGCAGAAGGGUUUGAUCAAUGUUGUCAAUGCAAUAUGGCCUGAAGCUCAACACAGAUUUUGUGUAAGACAUUUGCACCAGAACUUUGCAAGAAAUGGGUUUCGAGGUGAUAUCUUGAAGAACAAGCUGUGGCAAAUUGCAAGAGCCACAAGACAGUGUGACUGGCAGAUUUACAUGGAUGAGAUGAAAGCAUUGGAUGUUGCAGCAUUUGAGUACUUGGAUGCAAUUGAUCCAAGGCAGUGGUGCAAGGCAUUCUUUGAGGAAUUGCCCAAAUGUGACUUGCUGCUGAACAACAUAUGUGAAGUGUUCAACAGGUUAGUAAAUGUG
rnacentral:rRNA from 1 species